CCAAUAGCGUAUAUUAAAGUUGUUGCAGUUAAGAAGCUCGUAGUUGAAUUUCGGAAUCUGUCCGUUGGUCGGGCUUUAUUGUCCGUACUGGUGUGAUGGGUUCUUACCUUCUGAAUAACCAGCAUGCCAUUCAUUUGGUGCGUUGGGGAAGCAGGACUAUUACCUUGAAAAAAUUAGAGUGCCCAAAGCAGGCUAGUGCCUGAAUACAUUAGAAUGGAAUAAUAAAAUAGGACGGCAUGGUUCUAUUUUGUUGGUUUCUAGGAUCACCGUAAUGAUUAAUAGGGAUAGUUGGGGGCAUUAGUAUUCAAUUGUCAGAGGUGAAAUUCUUGGAUUUAUUGAAGACUAACUUCUGCGAAAGCAUUUGCCAAGGAUGCUUUCAUUAAUCAAGAACGAAAGUUAGGGGAUCGAAGACGAUCAGAUACCGUCGUAGUCUUAACCAUAAACUAUGCCGACUAGGGAUCGGACGAUGUUAAUUUUUUAAUGACUCGUUCGGCGCCUUACG
rnacentral:rRNA from 1 species